CCNUCUUGCUAGUCNCNNUCNGANGCUGGCUCCAUAAAGGUUACCUCACCGACUUCGGGUGUUACAAACUCUCGUGGUGUGACGGGCGGUGUGUACAAGGCCCGGGAACGUAUUCACCGCGGCAUGCUGAUCCGCGAUUACUAGCGAUUCCAGCUUCACGCAGUCGAGUUGCAGACUGCGAUCCGAACUGAGAACAGAUUUGUGGGAUUGGCUUAACCUCGCGGUUUCGCUGCCCUUUGUUCUGUCCAUUGUAGCACGUGUGUAGCCCAGGUCAUAAGGGGCAUGAUGAUUUGACGUCAUCCCCACCUUCCUCCGGUUUGUCACCGGCAGUCACCUUAGAGUGCCCAACUGAAUGCUGGCAACUAAGAUCAAGGGUUGCGCUCGUUGCGGGACUUUAACCCAACAUCUCACGACACGAGCUGACGACAACCAUGCACCACCUGUCACUCUGCCCCCGAAGGGGAC
rnacentral:rRNA from 1 species